AUGAACGCUGGCGGCGUGCCUAAUCCCUGCAAGUCGCGCGAACAGACGAGGAGCUUGCUCCUCUGACGUUAGCGGCGGACGGGUGAGUAACACGUGGAUAACCUACCUAUAAGACUGGGAUAACUUCGGGAAACCGGAGCUAAUACCGGAUAAUAUAUUGAACCGCAUGGUUCAAUAGUGAAAGACGGUUUUGCUGUCACUUAUAGAUGGAUCCACGCCGCAUUAGCUAGUUGGUAAGGUAACGGCUUACCAAGGCGACGAUGCGUAGCCGACCUGAGAGGGUGAUCGGCCACACUGGAACUGAGACACGGUCCAGACUCCUACGGGAGGCAGCAGUAGGGAAUCUUCCGCAAUGGGCGAAAGCCUGACGGAGCAACGCCGCGUGAGUGAUGAAGGUCUUCGGAUCGUAAAACUCUGUUAUUAGGGAAGAACAAAUGUGUAAGUAACUAUGCACGUCUUGACGGUACCUAAUCAGAAAGCCACGGCUAACUACGUG
rnacentral:rRNA from 1 species